UUUUAUCUUUUCAAUAUUCUUAUUUUUGUCUUUUUUUUGUGGAAUUGGAUUGGGGGUUUGAGGGGGUUCAGACCAUUGGUUUGUUGCAAUCCACCAUGGAUGGACCACGAACAUCACACCCUUAAAAUCUUCAGGGUAGGGCAAUCCCAACCAUUCAAUUCAUGGCCUACAGAGGCAACAAGAGAAGAAGAGAUGCUACUACAUUCUGCAUUCAACUGAUUAACGUUCUAGGAUAUGGACCCUGGUCUGGAUGGAAGAACUAUGGGCCUACUCACCAGAACCGAAAACCUAACCAUACGUCCAGGGCAUGGAGUUAAGGAUCCUGCUAUGGCAAAGAUGAUUAUGUAAUUUGGAUGAUUGCAUAUCCACGACUAAUGGAGUCAUACAAGGACUACGCCUAGUGGGGCCGACUCUCUUGACUAGCCCUAUUGAAAAUUGCAAUUUUAGUUGGCCUAGGCCGAGCCCUUUAAAAUCUCAUUCAUGUUCAUGUGGUAAUUAGUCAAUACAGGUAUUCCAAUACAUUGACAUGGGUUACUAUACCAUGUCGUUUGUCCAGCUUGAAGAUCAAGUGGUAGACAUGUUUACGAAGGCUCUAAUUCAUGUUCAUUAAGAUUGCUUCUUUGUCAAGUUGGACAUUCAUGAUGCGUAUGCUCCAGCUUGGGUCACAGUAGAUGCCAAAGAAUUCCAAAGCGCCCAAGUGUUGAUUGGCAUGAUUUACAAGAAGAAAAGGUACUUACAUCACUGAUUCUAGUGCUACAACAGUGAUGGAUUAAACUAAUCAGCCAACAAAAUACUCAUUAACAGUACAUGUUGGAUUUUAUAUCAGUUUUCCUCCAAGUUUUUAAUAAACUCAAUUAUUUGUGGUGUAUUGUCUUACAUUGCCUACAAAAUGCAGGUUAAACUGUCUAUAGGAACAAUCAGUGGAAGGGACUGUUUGGUAGGUUGGAUUGGGAAGGAAACUUCCCAACUUCCAUCACAGACCCUUAGCCCAUGGGUAAGGUUGACAUGUGCAUUCACCCUGACCAGGACAAGAUACUUACAGUUCGAGAAUGUGCGCGGUCUCAGGUUGAUAAUUUUGGCAUAGUGAACCUCAUGGAUGCAUGCCAAAAAAUCAAGGUGAACAGGUUCAUUCUUAUCAAUUAAAUUCUUGUGAAUGGAGCUGCAAUGAGCCAAAUCCUUAAUCCGGCUUACAUCAUUCUAAAUGUGUUUGGGCUCAUAUUGAUAGCAAAGCUACAGGCAGAUUGAGGACCUAUUUGGUGCUAUUAGGCAAGAGUAGAUUUGAAGAUGAUUCAAUAGGUCCAAUCUGGCAUGCAAGAUUUUACUUGUUCAGAAAUGAGAAGAUCAGUCUAUGUGCAGUAAGCUUUCGGAUUAAAGCGAAGUUGAGAAUAGUGUGUUAGUUGAUGGCAAAUUGAUAACCAGUAGAGGCAUAUCCAUGGAGUUCUAGCUUACGAUUAUUGAGAAGCUAGUUAGCUAUGAGAAGGCAUUGGAUCUUGCUAUUGAUGAGAACUUUAAAUCGAC